UACGUAGGGGGCAAGCGUUGUCCGGAAUCAUUGGGCGUAAAGCGCGUGUAGGCGGCUCAGUAAGUCCGCUCUGAAAGCCCGGGGCUCAACCCCGGGAGGCGGGUGGAUACUGCUGAGCUCGAGUCCGGAAGAGGAGAGUGGAAUUCCUGGUGUAGCGGUGAAAUGCGCAGAUAUCAGGAAGAACACCAAUGGCGAAAGCAGCUCUCUGGGACGGUACUGACGCUGAGACGCGAAAGCGUGGGGAGCGAACAGG
rnacentral:rRNA from 1 species